CAGAUUAUCAGCUAACUCUGUGUUGUAAACGUGUCAGUCUGUUAGGUUAUCCUUUUGUGAAAAUUUCCUUCAUGAACCAACGGCUUUGUUCCUUGUCUCCAGUGUAUACCACUGUUGGUCAUGCGAAUAGUUGGAGCCCGCUCAGCUCGCCUUCCUCCAUAGAACACUGGUGACCUCUCAUCAUACCUGGAUUGGAUACUCACCCAACAGUUUCCUCUGCAGCACUUCCUUCUCAAACCUUCACUGCUACUCAGCUGCCUGUUCACCCUCUGUCAGCUCCUUCUCCCUCACAAACCCAGACGUGGCAGUUUCAACAUCCCCCUGUGACUGAAUAACCCUGGACUUCCAAAGCCCCAUUCUCUGCCUCCAGAUGAAAUACAUGUACAUCAUACCUGCUCCCUCACUUCACAUUCUCUACUUGAGUGAAGUGUCAUCUGCAGCUUGAGGAGCAGGGAUGAAACAAGGCUUUGGUGUCAGCUUGUCUUUGUCCCCAGGGACAAAGACAAAGGUGACAGGAGGAAGACAAAAGACAAGAUUGCUUCCUCCUCAGUGCUCCUAAAGUUGGACACUCGGUGUGAAGCUGUGAGCUAGAUCAGUGACAUGAAAGUGAAAUAUGGUGGAUGGGGGCAUGAAUAUGCCCUACAUCAGACAAACCUCCAAAGAGCAGGCUGUGGCUUGCCAAGGUCCAGCCCACCUGAAUGUCUCGGAGAGAAAACAAAGAGCAGAGGGCCGAAAAAGGCACCAGCGGGAAAAGAUGAAGGAAUCAGUGGAUGAAAGGUUGAGGGGAGGCUGUGAUGGACAUGGAGGACUGGAGGUUGAAAAAGGCUCUAUUGAAUACAUGCAAUCAGGAAAACUAUACAUCCAGGCAGGGUGCUUGGAUGUAGUUGUACUAAUAGAAACAGUAAAUGAAAAAACAGGGCAGACAGCAGGAUAUGCCCUUUAGAGUGAUAUAAAUAAGAAUAAUUAACUGUUGAGCAUGUUAAGCUAAAUAUAUUGCGUCUGGGAUAGGUCUUUUUCUGCACAAUCAGCCAAUCGGGGUUCACCAACUGUGGUACAAAACUGAUAUUUGUAGGAGCAAGAGAAGAAAGGCACAUAUUGCUGGAAUAGCAGUUAGAUGUCAGAAUAAAAUAAAAAUGUUAUUGUAACAGUUUGGAUAUGGAAACUUUUAUGUAGGUGACCCCUACUGACCAUUACAGGAAAACUAUUUUCCAGCAUUUGAAAAAGUAUUACCAUAACAUAGAAUACAAAGAUAGGUAAAAAUACAAAUGUCAGCCUGUAAUACCCGAAAAGUUGAUUCUGUUCAUCUGGAUGUAGUGUUUUCAGUGAGAGAAACGUUUCGUCAAUCAUCCAAGUGACUUCUUCAGUCUCAACCUGUAAGGCUUUCACAACACCCUUUGUUGUUUUAAUCAGAGAAAGUUCUGUUACUUGUAACAAUGCCAGUUGAUGUAGUGGAUGCAUUCCAACCUCUAAACUCCGAGCAAAAAUAGCCUAUUUCCCAAAAACUCUGAAAACUGCGUGCAAGCAUAUCUAGGAGAAAGGGUACUGGGCAAAUAUUGAUUUGACUUAUGUUUAUUAUUACUGCACCUUAAAUUACUUUUGUUGAUAGAUUGAAGUAUUUAUUUAAUUUUCUCAAUUUUAUUGUAUUGCCUUUAAUGUUUGCAUAGUACUGUAAAAGCUGAUUUAACUUCACAAUGUUCUCCAAAGAGGUUCAUCUCAACAUGUCUGAGCAGAAUAUGACUAAUGAGGCAUGGGAAGCAAAUCUGAACAUGAUGCACAUGAGACAAGGGACUGUCAACAUAAAACAGGAACUAAUACACGGACACAAAGACUCAGACUAAGACAUAUAAAUUGACACUGGAACAAAAAGGUAAACAAACACUGAGACACGACAAACUGGAGGAACAGGACACAGUAACCAGACAGACACAGGAAAACAGAAAUCCAAAGAUGGGAACAGGACACAGACUGACAGGGAAUAGACAAAAAGACAAGACUAACUAAAUACAGGCCCAUGUACAUAAAAGGGAACUGACUAAAUUAAAGAUGGAACUAAGAACUAUAUAUAACUAAACUAGAAGGCACAUGGGAAAAAUGCUAAACACCUUGACAAGGUAAAGAUGAACUAAAGAAAUAAUCACAUAAAUCCAUAAAUAAAUCAAAACCCCACAAAACUGAAGACACUGAGUCCAAACCAAGGGACACAUAAUCCACUCCAGAUCUUUAAUCAGAUUAGUUUGUCAUGGAUUAUCAGGGAAAUUGGCCUCACCUGGCCAUGAACUGGUUCAUCAGUUAAUUGCCCAGACUUUAUUAGCAUAAUUUUUGCACAGUUCCCAAUAAAAUACACACACACACACACACACACACACACACACACACACACACACACACACACACACACACACACACACACACUAUAACAGCUACACUGAUAUAGAAGUUGAUGUUUGAAAGAAAUACCCUAAAAUGUUAAAUGUAGCACCAAUUGUGACUUCCAGGAAAAAUAUGUUUCUGAGUAUAGUGUCCAAUAGAUAUACGACCAUAUUAUUUGAAUAGCCUGCGUCUUUAACACAAGCACACACUUAACACACAAUGAUAUUAGGGAAUGUAUCUUUCAGCAUACACAUUUCCACUACCUACAGGCAGUCAUGUGCUGUGUCCUGCUGUGCCAGGUCUGGGGUUUGAGGCCUUUUGUGUCUUUUAGAGCAGCUAGUGAUCUGUAAACUGACAAAUGAACUGUGAAGCUGCCUUUUCUGCCUUGGGGGUAUGGGUUGGGGGUUGGGGGUCAGAUUUAUUUUUCUGAAAAGUCUAGGUCUGCAUCACACACUGUAUCUGUUAUGUCAUUUACUGUACAGGUGAGUAUCCUUGUUUAGGUGUCCAGUGGUGGAUGAGCAUGUGAUAUCAUGUGUACCAAACACAAAUGAGAGAGAUUAGCCUGCUGUGCUGUAAACUGUUGGGUUAUACAAAAACACAAAUAUGGUAAUAAUGUAAAUGCGUUUCUGAUUCUUUGACUGUUUUUGUCUUUACCGCAGAAAAGUCUCUUACCAUUCCUUCGUUUAUAUUUGCUGUUGCAAAUGAAUCCAUUUAUUAAAUAUUGGUAUAAUGCACAUCAAAUAUACGAGGUUUCACACAGUGCUGGACAUGAGGUUGAAAUGUGCAUGCUGCACUUACAAGGAAAGGGUCUGGUUAGGUUACUUACUGUUUGAUCACAAAGUUCCCGUCAGAAAAGCUGGUUCUGAAAUUUAAUCAAGGUUGUUUGUUUGGCACAGUUUUACAAUAGUUUGGUAUAUGCAUGGUUACAGUUGCAUACAUCUUCAUUUACAGCUGUUUGCUAUGGUCAGUAAAUGCUUUUUUGUACCAUAGGCUGUAUAUAAAAGACACAUUUGCUGUUAUGUCAUUGCUUUGCAGACUGCACAUGUUGCUGUUUUUUGACACGAGCUUGUAAAGUUAAUCUUGGUUAGCAUGUUGCAUUUAUGAACCAUAUGGCAGAAACACACAAACACAUAUCUCGUUAGUUGUUGCAUCCUUUAUCAGUAUAUCAUUACUUAUUCAACUCUGCUUCACGCCCUGGAGGACGGGGCUGUGGCCCCCCCACACCCUCUAGCAGAUUAUUACAUGAAGGAACCUUUUAAAAAAACAAAAAACAAGCGCGUCCAUGCUCACAGGUGUACACACGGGUGAUCACACCCACAAACUACACCCUUUUUGGCUCCUACCUCAAAGCACACUGUGUUCUGUUGAUCUUAGGUGCUGCACAAUAAUGUUUAACAUUUAGUAUUUACUGUCAUAUUCCCAUAUAUCAUUGUGAUGUUGUUUAUUCUAUUACUCUUGUUCUCUUCUGCUUGCUUUCUUUUUUCUUUCUCAGCAGGUGAUCCAGGUGAUUGAUAUAUGCAUUUUUUUUCUCUGCCCGUUCUGUUGGUUUUUGUCUUUUGCCCUUCUCCCCCGUCCCUCUUCUCAGCUGUUUCUCUUUCCCUCUUUUUUUCUCCCCUUCUUUCCCCCAGUCAAGUCUGUCCCGUAUUCAGUAAGUGAAAAUAAAAUAAACAAUAAAAGGUGAAUCAAAUGG
ensembl:lncRNA